rnacentral:rRNA from 1 species
UACAGAGGGUGCGAGCGUUUAAUCGGAAUUACUGGGCGUAAAGCGUGCGUAGACGGUUAUUUAAGUCGGGUGUGAAAGCCCCGGGCUCAACCUGGGAAUUGCAUUCGAGACUGAAUAGCUAGGGUACGGUAGAGGGAAGCGGAAUUUCCGGUGUAGCGGUGAAAUGCGUAGAUAUCGGAAGGAACAUCAGUGGCGAAAGCGGCUUCCUGGACCAGUACCGACGUCAGGCACGAAAGCGUGGGGAGCAAACAGG